UCAAUCUGUCACCAUACUUGACUAUAGCUCCUGCAGCGGCACAUACCUCCACAAACUCCAGCUCUCCUCUGUCAAAAUGCCAUACUGUAACGACGCUUUGCCAGCACCAUGCCAGGUUAUCAGAGAGGACGCUGACAAGUGUGUCAAAGAGAAGGGAGUGGAGCACUGUAAAGAUCUGAUGGAUGCCUUCCAGGCUUGUGUGAAAACCCUGUCUGAGGGAUCAUAACACAUUAUGAAAUACAGCUUUUGACCUCCUUCACCUUCCCAUCUACCUCCUUGCUCAUUGCACUGGACUGAACCAUUUGAAAUCUGAGGAUGGGGGUGAUGAUAAUAUAUCACUUCUGAGAAUAAAUACUUCUGUGAAUGUGUAUUUUUUAAUUUUUUAUUAUAAGCAUUAUUAUUGAGGACUAGAUUUGAUCACUGGUUAUUUAUGCACUAUAUGUUUUAUUUAUAUAUAUAAAAUGUAACAUUCAAUAAAUAUAAAUCUUGUUCAUUUACAA